ACGGAGCAAGACCGCGUGCGGGAUGAAGGUCUGUGGAUUGUAAACCGCUUUUCUCUGGGAAGAACACAAUGACGGUACCAGAGGAAUAAGCCUCGGCUAACUCCGUGCCAGCAGCCGCGGUAAUACGGAGGAGGCAAGCGUUAUCCGGAAUUAUUGGGCGUAAAGCGUCCGUAGGUGGUUGAGAAAGUCUGCUGUCAAAGCAUGGAGCUUAACUCCAUAAGGGCAGUGGAAACUACUCGACUAGAGUGCGGUAGGGGUAAGGGGAAUUCCCAGUGUAGCGGUGAAAUGCGUAGAUAUUGGGAAGAACAUCGGUGGCGAAGGCGCCUUACUGGACCUGCACUGACACUGAGGGACGAAAGCUAGGGGAGCG
rnacentral:rRNA from 1 species